rnacentral:rRNA from 1 species
AUUGGACGCUGGCGGCAUGCCUUACACAUGCAAGUCGAACGGCAGCACGGGUGCUUGCACCUGGUGGCGAGUGGCGAACGGGUGAGUAAUACAUCGGAACGUACCUUAUCGUGGGGGAUAACGCAGCGAAAGCUGUGCUAAUACCGCAUACGCCCUGAGGGGGAAAGCGGGGGAUCGCAAGACCUCGCGCGAUUAGAGCGGCCGAUGCCUGAUUAGCUUGUUGGUGGGGUAAAAGCCCACCAAGGCGACGAUCAGUAGCUGGUCUGAGAGGACGAUCAGCCACACGGGGACUGAGACACGGCCCAGACUCCUACGGGAGGCAGCAGUGGGGAAUUUUGGACAAUGGGGGCAACCCUGAUCCAGCAAUGCCGCGUGAGUGAAGAAGGCCUUCGGGUUGUAAAGCUCUUUUGUCAGGGAAGAAACACCGGCUCUAACACAGUCCGGGAAUGACGGUACCUGAAGAAUAAGCACCGGCUAACUACGUGCCAGCCGCCGCGGUAA